rnacentral:lncRNA from 1 species
UCCCCCCAGCCUGGCUGCUGAGCCCUGUCUCCCCAGUGGUUCUUUUCUCUACGCAUCUCUGAAUGUGACUGCUUUAGGGUGAAUCUCCUCCUUCUUGUUCCACCCACCUGCCAAUUUGUGUUAUGCUCCUGAUGUUGACAGCUUGCCUGGACCACUUCCUUUCUCUAUAGCCUUGAACCCUGCAGACACUGGAUUCUGCCUCUUGGGCUGAACUUCUUCUUGAGGCCUCUCCAUUGGGUGGCUCUGUCUUUCCUAGGCUUCCUCAUCUUGAUGCAAGGAAGAAGGUACACACUUGGCCAUGCAUGGUCUGAGAUGUAACAAUUAGUUUUAGGAAGUGCCUACUUCUGUGAGCAAAUAAUCAAUUACCUGUCAUAGCAGCCACUCUUUCCUGAAACUGCCUUCCAACCAGGUGUGCAGUUUCUGAAAUUCUACCAAUGGCUUUACUUCCUCCAGGUGUCUUCUGGAGGAGUAAGGAACCGUGACCAGACAGACACAAAUACAUAUGGCCAUUAGUAAUAUCAUUACCAAGCUAACUACAGGAAUCCAGGGCAGUAUGCAGGCAUAAGAGGUCCAGGAAGAGCAGAACAGAAGACAGUUGUGUGGAGAGCAAGUGAAGAGAGGCACUGAAGACAAACUCUCCCAUCCUUCUGACUUUACCUGGUCCCAGUCCUGGGUGAGCAACUCACAUAACCUUAGGCUUUGAGAUGGUUUGGCCUAUCAUGGGCCCUGAGAGAAUAUUGGACAAAAAUGUUGUUCUUUAGAGUUUAUGGAGAAAGAAACAGAAACAGGAUUUGGUUAUUAUUUUGAAGUGGGCAGAAAAACUGAGGAGCAACCUAACUGCACCAUUCAAUAGAUUAUAAUGCAAACAAGGACCAGAAAUGGCUACUGUCAGAAGUGAGUGAGAAACAAAGCCUGGGGAAAGGAUGUAGGAUCACAGGAUGUCUGCCAGCUCCUCUCCAGCCACCCAUUCUCAUAGCGGGUGAGCCAGACCACAUCUGCUAAUCCAGGAGCACAGCUCAGGACUAGUCUAUGCGGAUGGAAUCUCUCUCCAGCCUUUUCUCUAUGUCAGUUUUAUCUACCUGGCAAGAAAAAACAAAAACAACCCCAAAACAACCCCUCCCCACAAACACAACACAAAACAAGGGACUCGAAAAGUUGGAGAAAACCUUUUAAUGUGUUUCUGUAAAAUCCUUUCUUAGGAGGUUUAGUACAGGUACUACCCAUCAGCAACUUAGCCGGCCAGGUGAGUUGGUGCAGAAGGGCUUCGGCUGAAUUUAUACCAGAGCCAUCGGGAGUGACUUGGCCACCUCUCCCAAUUACCACAAGGAAGUCUUAAAAUUGAAUUUCAGUUUCAGCAGAUACUUCAGAUUUACCUGAGCAAUAUCAUAGACAAUGUACUCAUUAUAUAGUAGACAAGUGUCAUUCACACCAGAUGAAAUCCCAGUCCCAAGAGGAACCUCUGCACCAUCCAGAGUAAUACUAGCUGAAGGGUCAGGGGUAGUUUUGCCCAAACCUUUGACACUGUGCUUGCCCUUGGGUAACUUGCUGAUAUGUGAAGCGUGCUUCAGUUCAUACAUUUUCCAAGGGCAACUUCUCCCAACAGGAUUAAGCCUGUUGGGCCUCCCUGAGAUGUAUGGCAGUAGUUGGCACUCUUGGAGGCCAUGUCAGCGAAAUAGAUCCCUUUACCAAACAUGUAGCCCGUCAUGGGCACUUCAGGCGGGGCUAUCCAAAGACCCUGGGACAGGAUCCCAGCAAAGCUGGUGGUUGUGGACCCGGGGCAUGGGCCUUU